GCAACUGGGACAGGAGGGCUGUGCUUCAUUUCAUGGCAGAAAUCCCAGAUCAGGUCUAAGAGAAAGGACACCCAUUUCCCUGAGUGCCUGUAAAGCUGGGACAGGGCUGCGGGAAUGGCCGGAGCUGGCAGGGCUCUGCCAGGCUCUGGGGUCACAGCCCCACGGCUCCCGGCAGCGUUGCAGACUAACAAGGACGAGCCUGAGGGACCAGCAUCUCCAGAGCAACCAGGGGGACAAUGGCAGGAACGCUCCCUGGCCCUCACCAAGUAGACUGAUGGCAGAAGAGGGAUAAUAUUCCUCCACUGACAGGGAGCUGGAGAAAGCUCAGAUGUUUGGGUACAGUAGGCCCAUUCCGACACAACAAGCCUACGCUCAAGCUGUGAUCCCAACAGAGAAGAAAGCGUUUCAGGUCUGAGCUGCUCUCAUCCAGUGAGCUACUGCCAUAUCAGCUCUGCUCCGAGGAAGUGGAAGUACUUGCUUUUAUUUAUUUUUAUCCUGUGGCAUCAAAACGCCCCUGGGUAACAGAGGACAGAGUGAGGAGGGGGAAUGAUGAAGGUUCUUACUCUUCACUGCUGGGUUCCUGCUCUGAGACAAUGUGCAUUUCUUUCAGGCAACAUGUAGAUUAUUGUGAGAAUACAGGUUUGCGGGUUGGUAAAAUAGACAUGAAUGUCAAAGAAACAAAAAAAAAAACAAAAAAAAAAAAAAAAAAGGAAGAGAAGAAGGAAAAAAAAAAAAAAGAAAAUUCCAAACAGAUGACGGGAGGCCAAAUGCUGCCCUUAGUGAUGAGCACCUUAAGCACCUGACAAGCUGCUCUGGCUGUAGCAGAGGGGCCCUGCAGGCUGCUUUCACCUUGGACACAGCUGGAAACCUGGGGCCUGGGAUCACUCCAGCAGCCAACACUCCCCGCUGGGCUCAGACUGAACUGAAGGGGCCCCUCCUGCCCUCGGCUCCUGUCGCUCUUCUCACCCCAGAAGCGACAAAGAAACCGGCACGCCACCCCAGGGAGAGCUUGGUCAGGCAGCUGGUCAGACAAAAAGCCGGGGCUGUAAGGCAGCGAUGCUGUCCUGCAGUCAGAGAGGUGCUGGAGGCCCAAGCCCCCCGUUUCUGGAGGGGCUGACGGCUGCA